rnacentral:rRNA from 1 species
GAUGAACGCUAGCUACAGGCUUAACACAUGCAAGUCGAGGGGAAACGGCAUUGAGUGCUUGCACUCUUUGGACGUCGACCGGCGCACGGGUGAGUAACGCGUAUCCAACCUUCCCAUUACUGUGGAAUAACCUGCCGAAAGGCAGACUAAUACCGCAUAGUCUUCGAUGACGGCAUCAGAUUUGAAGUAAAGAUUUAUCGGUAAUGGAUGGGGAUGCGUCUGAUUAGCUUGUUGGCGGGGUAACGGCCCACCAAGGCAACGAUCAGUAGGGGUUCUGAGAGGAAGGUCCCCCACAUUGGAACUGAGACACGGCCCAAACUCCUACGGGAGGCAGCAGUGAGGAAUAUUGGUCAAUGGACGAAAGUCUGAACCAGCCAAGUAGCGUGCAGGAUGACGGCCCUAUGGGUUGUAAACUGCUUUUGUAUGGGGAUAAAGUUAGGG